GUCGCAAUGUAUUCAAUGAGGCUGGGUCAGUACGUCUGGCUGUUAACCAGAAGGUUGGUGGUUCAAGCCCACCAAGCGAUG